GAGUUUGAUCAUGGCUCAGAACGAACGCUGGCGGCAGGCUUAACACAUGCAAGUCGAGCGCCCCGCAAGGGGAGCGGCAGACGGGUGAGUAACGCGUGGGAACGUACCCUUUACUACGGAAUAACGCAUGGAAACGUGUGCUAAUACCGUAUGUGCCCUUCGGGGGAAAGAUUUAUCGGUAAAGGAUCGGCCCGCGUUGGAUUAGCUAGUUGGUGGGGUAAAGGCCUACCAAGGCGACGAUCCAUAGCUGGUCUGAGAGGAUGAUCAGACCACAUUGGGACUGAGACACGGCCCAAACUCCUACGGGAGGCAGCAGUGGGGAAUAUUGGACAAUGGGCGCAAGCCUGAUCCAGCCAUGCCGCGUGAGUGAUGAAGGCCCUAGGGUUGUAAAGCUCUUUCACCGGUGAAGAUAAUGACGGUAACCGGAGAAGAAGCCCCGGCUAACUUCGUGCCAGCCGCCGCAGUAAG
rnacentral:rRNA from 2 species